UUUAUUUUGGCUUUAAAAUUUAUUAUUAGUUUGUUUUAUAUGUAAAUUUUUGUGUGGGUGUUUAUUUGUUUAAAUAAUGAAUAAUUUUUAUUUAGUCGCAGUAAUUAAUAUUAUAAAUUAAGGAAACUUAGAAAUAGAAAUAUUAAUUAGUAUUGACCUAAUUCGUGCCAGCAGUCGCGGUUAUACGAAUAAUGCAAUUAAAUUUUUUCAGUAGAAGUUAAAUUGAUUUAUUAAAAUAAAAAUAAAUUUAUUAGGUGAAAUUUUAAAUUUAUUAAUUUUUUAAUUAAAAUAAUAUUGAAGCUUAAAAAUUUUUAAAUUAAACUAGGAUUAGAUACCCUAUUAUUAGAAAUGUAUUUAAUUAACUUGAGUAGUAUUAGUUAUGUUCUUGAAACUUAAAAAAUUUGGCGGUAUUUUAGUCUAUUCAGAGGAAUCUGUUCUAUAAUCGAUAAUCCACGAUGGACCUUACUUAAAUUUGUUUUCAGUUUAUAUACCGUCGUUAUCAGAAUAUUUUAUAAGAAUAAAAAUUUUCUAUAAAUUUAAUUAAAUUUUAUAUCAGAUCAAGGUGUAGCUUAUAUUUAAGUAGAAAUGGAUUACAAUAAAUUUAUUUAUAUGGAUUUAGAUAUGAAAAAAUCUAUUGAAAUUGGAUUUGAUAGUAAAAUUAUAAAGAUUAAUAAUUUGAUUUUAGCUCUAAAAUAUGCACACAUCGCCCGUCGCUCUUAUUAUUAAGAUAAGAUAAGUCGUAACAUAGUAGAUGUACCGGAAGGUGUAUCUAGAAUGAC
rnacentral:ncRNA from 1 species